AGGGCGUACAGUGGAUGCCUUGGCACCGAAAGCCGAUGAAGGACGUGAUUACCUGCGAUAAGCUGCGGGGAGCUGGAUAUAAGCUUCGAUCCGCGGAUUUCCGAAUGGGGAAACCCAGUUAGUUUUAUCACUAACUACACAUAGAUGAAUAAAUAGUCUAUGAUGAGACAACCUAGGGAACUGAAACAUCUAAGUACCUAGAGGAAAAGAAAGAGAAAUCGUAUUCCGUAAGUAGUGGCGAGCGAAAGCGGAACAGUCCAAACCAUUUAAUGGGGUUCGGAUUAGACAUCAAUGGGUUGCGAACAAGAAGAAGUGUUUGAAUGACAUACCAUAGAAGGUGAAAGUCCUGUAUUCGUAAAAAUCGCAAUCAAGUCUAGUCCAGAGUACGGCGAGACACGUGGAAUCUUGUCGGAAUGUGCGGGGACCAUCCCGUAAGACUAAAUACUCUUCGGUGACCGAUAGUGAACCAGUACUGUGAAGGAAAGGUGAAAAGAACCGCGGGAGCGGAGUGAAAAGAAUCUGAAACUGUAUGCUUACAAAAAGUCAGAGGGCGUUAAGGCCUGAUGACGUGCCUAUUGAAGAAUGAGCCGGCGAGUUAUGUGCACUUGCAAGGUUAAGGAGGAGAUCCGGAGCCGUAGCGAAAGCGAGUCUGAACAGGGCGAAUAAGUAUGUGCAUGUAAACCCGAAACCCGACGAUCUAGACAUGAGCAGGAUGAAGUUGGAGUAAAAUCCAAUGGAGGUCCGAACCGACGUUCGUUGAAACGCCCGCGGAUGACUUGUGUCUCGUGGAGAAAUUCCAAUCGAGUCGGGUUAUAGCUGGUUCUCCUCGAAAUAGCUUUAGGGCUAGCCUUGGAUAAAUUGACAUGUGCAGGUAGAGCACUGAAUGUGAAAGGGCCGCGCUAAGCGGUACCGAUUGCAAUCAAACUCCGAAUGGUACAUGUUUUACUCCAGGAGUCAGACUGUGGGAGAUAAGUUUCAUGGUCAAAAGGGAAAAAGCCCAGAUCACCAAUUAAGGUCCCUAAAUUCACGCUAAGUGUCAAAGGAUGUGGAAAUACUUAAACAGCUAGGAUGUUGGCUCAGAGGCUGCCAUCAUUUAAAGAAUGCGUAACAGCUCACUAGUCAAGUGUUUCUGCGCCAAAAAUUUACCGGGGCUAAGCGUGGUACCGAAAUUGUGAAUAUAUUUUAAAUAUAUGGUAGGGGAGCGUUCUAUGUGCGUCGAAGUCAUACCGGAAGGAGUGGUGGAGCGCAUAGAAGUGAGAAUGCCGGCGUAAGUAACGAAAAGGGGUGAGAAUCCCCUUCACCGUUUGACUAAGGUUUCCUGGGCAAGGUUCGUCCACCCAGGGUUAGUCGGGGACUAAGGUCAGGCCGAAUGGCGUAGCCGAUGUACAGCAGGUUGAUAUUCCUGCACCCGCUAGUGUAGUGAUGAGCGUGACGGAUAAGGCUAAACGUACCCACGGUUGGAUGUGUGGGGAGAAGUACAUAGCCCUGCUUGAGGUAAAGUCCUUGAGCGACAAGGGUAAAGUAUCAAGUACGAAUGGGGUGACCCUAGUAGGAAAUCGUUGAUGCCAGGUCCCAAGAAAAGCGCCUAGCGUUUAAUCACUAGCGGCCCGUACCGAGAACGGACACACGUGGUCAAGGAGAGUAUCCUAAGGUGAGCGAGAUAACUGUUGUUAAGGAACUCUGCAAAAUUACUUCGUAAGUUAGCGAGAAGAAGUGCCACAGCGAUGUGGUCGCAGUGAAGAGGCCCAAGUAACUGUUUACCAAAAACACAGCUCUAUGCUAAGUCGUAAGAUGAUGUAUAUGGGGUGAAGCCUGCCCGGUGCUGGAAGGUUAAAAGGAGAGGUUAGCGCAAGCGAAGCUUUGAAUUGAAGCCCCAGUGAACGGCGGCCGUAACUAUGACGGUCCUAAGGUAGCGAAAUUCCUUGUCAGGUAAGUUCUGACGUGCACGAAUGGUUUAAUAAUUUGGGCGCUGUCUCGACAGCAGACUCGGUGAAAUCUUAAUACCUGUGAAGAUGCAGGUUACCCGCGACUAGACGGAAAGACCCCAUAGAGCUUUACUACAACUUAAUAUUGAGUAAUUGUAAAUCAUGUACAGGAUAGGUGGGAGACUUUGAUGUUGGGGCGUCAGCUUCAGCGGAGUCGGCGUUGGGAUACCACUCUUGAUUUACAAUUAUUCUAACUUGCGGCCUGGACGGUUGCGAGGACAGUGUUAGGCGGGUAGUUUGACUGGGGCGGUCGCCUCCCAAAGAG
rnacentral:rRNA from 1 species